rnacentral:rRNA from 1 species
GAUGAACGCUGGCGGCGUGCCUAAUACAUGCAAGUCGAGCGAACGGACGAGAAGCUUGCUUCUCUGAUGUUAGCGGCGGACGGGUGAGUAACACGUGGAUAACCUACCUAUAAGACUGGGAUAACUUCGGGAAACCGGAGCUAAUACCGGAUGAUAUUUUGAACCGCAUGGUUCAAAAGUGAAAGACGGUUUUGCGGUCACUUAUAGAUGGAUCCGCGCUGCAUUAGCUAGUUGGUAAGGUAACGGCUUACCAAGGCAACGAUGCAUAGCCGACCUGAGAGGGUGAUCGGCCACACUGGAACUGAGACACGGUCCAGACUCCUACGGGAGGCAGCAGUAGGGAAUCUUCCGCAAUGGGCGAAAGCCUGACGGAGCAACGCCGCGUGAGUGAUGAAGGUCUUCGGAUCGUAAAACUCUGUUAUUAGGGAAGAACAUAUGUGUAAGUAACUGUGCACAUCUUGACGGUACCUAAUCAGAAAGCCACGGCUAACUACGUG